rnacentral:rRNA from 1 species
GAUGAACGCUGGCGGCGUGCCUAAUACAUGCAAGUCGAGCGAAUGGAUUAAGAGCUUGCUCUUAUGAAGUUAGCGGCGGACGGGUGAGUAACACGUGGGUAACCUGCCCAUAAGACUGGGAUAACUCCGGGAAACCGGGGCUAAUACCGGAUAACAUUUUGAACCGCAUGGUUCGAAAUUGAAAGGCGGCUUCGGCUGUCACUUAUGUAUGGACCCGCGUCGCAUUAGCUAGUUGGUGAGGUAACGGCUCACCAAGGCAACGAUGCGUAGCCGACCUGAGAGGGUGAUCGGCCACACUGGGACUGAGACACGGCCCAGACUCCUACGGGAGGCAGCAGUAGGGAAUCUUCCGCAAUGGACGAAAGUCUGACGGAGCAACGCCGCGUGAGUGAUGAAGGCUUUCGGGUCGUAAAACUCUGUUGUUAGGGAAGAACAAGUGCUAGUUGAAUAAGCUGGCGCCUUGACGGUACCUAACCAGAAAGCCACGGCUAACUACGUGCCAGCAGCCGCGGUAA